rnacentral:misc_RNA from 1 species
AAAUACAAUAGUUCUGGAUCCUUCAAUCUUACAUUCACAUUUCACAAUCAAAAGCAAAGGGGCAACAAUUGAUAUAUUUAAACGCAACUUUAUUCAGCAAUAUCAAAAAUACGAACACAGAUAGCGGUAUCGAAACAAUACAGAGUUGCUGAGCCUUCAUACAACCCUCAAAAUACUAAUACCGCUUACUAAUACUAUUAAUGUCUUUAUAAAUUAUUAUAAAUUUGAAUGGAAUUUGAUUUCAGGUUGAAGUUAACAGAAUAGCCAUCAACCUGCACAUUCAUAAGGAAGCAAACAGCUAAUAGGAACUUAAGGACGUAGAGGCACAGCCUCAUUAACCCAUCCUAUUUCAGAUCCUACUCCAGUUAGCUCAGGCCUAUCAAAGCCAGUGCAAAAGCCGCUUUCAUUGGAGCCCAUGGGCGACAAGAGUGUAGAGCCAUGAUUGUCUACUUCAUCUAGCCCAAGGAAUGUUUUCAAACUCUUCAGAAAAUCUUGUAGAGUGUCUACCUCUAAUGGUGUAGACUCUGCUGCAUUAUUGUCUACCGUAGCAGCAGUCGAGUGAGUUAGUGUAUCAGAAGGUGUUGGUAGAGGGAAACUCCAUUCACCUUCUUCAGAGGCUGAUAUAUCAGUUUUCCUAUUUGGAUUUUGACUUCCAAAAUCCGAAGUGAUUGGGCAACUUAAGUUGCCAUUAACAUAGGUUGACAUAGCAGCCAUCUCAUUUUGAUUUUGAUCUUCUUGAUCAGAACUCAAGUAGUAACGUGAUUCUCCUUCAUAAUUAGUAGAAUCACUGGUCACCUCAUUUAGAUUUUGAUUUUGAUGAUCAAAAGCUACAAGGGCAUUCUGCUCAACUUGUUCAUAGGUUGAGGUAGUAGUCAACUGGUUGGGAUUACAAAUUUCAAAAUCAGAAAAAAAAUUACUCGGUUCACAUUCAUCACUAGAUGAAUUAGUUGUCAUCUCAUUUAGCUUUUGAUUUUGAAGAUCGCAAGGCGAUACAACGCUACUUGUUUCACCAUUGCCCACCUUCACAUCUGGCUUUGCCUUCAAUUUACAGAGAAGGAAAUUCCCCUGCACAAGUCGAAAUACAAUGUUAUCAUGUUAAACAUUAUAAAACAGCAAAAGAAAAGUAAUUCUACAAGAUACAAAACUUCAUAAAACCAAAAUUUCCUUAAAUAUAGGCUAAAUUCUUCUACUUUGAUAAGAAUUAAAGACAAAAUAAACCAGAGCCUUCAAAAACAAGUUGUUAAAUUAGCAAAAACUCAAGAAAUUUGAAAGAAUAAUUUGUAUUACCUGGGCGGAAUCUGAUACAAAUAAAUCAUAUUCGUGCAUGAUCCAUUUGGUUCUCGUUGGUUUAGGAUGAUCCUUUAAGUAGAAAACCAAAGUCCUUUUUGUACCAAUCUCUUCCUUUCGCUUAUUUUUCACUUUACGGGGCUUGCCAGUGGGCUUCCAGUAUCCCGCCUUGGUUGUUCUAUUCGAACGACGACUACCUGAAUACUUAUAAUCACGGGGACAAAAGAAAUACCACACUUGAUCCUCUGAACUGGUGUGAACUAAACCUGCAUAUAAACAGCAUUUAUUAACCAAAUAGCAUAACUAAAAUAAUAAAACGGAUUGGAGAAGAUAUGUAUGGCUAUAUAUGGUUACCGGGUAGAUCCCACGGCUCAACAGCACAAACUUUUGUCUCCGUGAUUGGUGAGUCAUCAUCGUUACAAUCAUUUAUCUUUUUCUUCAAAAAAUAAUUAACCAACUCAUAGUCCGUAGGAUGGAAUCUAUAUCCAACCACCGGAUUGGAUUGUUCCGGUGUUGCUGGAACGGACAUUGAGUCAGAGAAGUUGCGUUUCAUUCCUCUUCCUAAAAUGGAACACAAGAAGGCUUGGUUGAUUGUAGAGAAGGACCACUUAUGUCUUGGGACAAAACACGAAGCAGAGAAGGAAGAUGAAGCAGAAGCAGAAGCAAUGUAGCAGAGCUUUAGCUAAAUACAUAGAGAGAACAUUUUGAUUUUGGUGGAGGGAAGCAGGGGAAUGCUUGUGCU